UCAUCUUUCCUCGCCGCAUCAUUGCUGCAAGCUUCGCAAAUGGCGAGUAAUCGUCACAGCAGUGACCCCGAAGCGUCAUCCGCGCCAACCCGCUCGCCCCUAGAACAGGUGCACCUUCUGCUCGCCUCGCUCCUGCGCUGGUGGCCGUACGCGCCGCAUGAGCGAAUCCCGUCGAUUCUGCUUUGCGGCCCCACCUCAAAUGGGAAGAGCCAUCUCGUUCAUCGUGUCGCAGACGCUGUCAAUGCGUGCACAGAUACCGCGAUGGAUGAGGUGGCCCGCUUUUCAGAAAAAGAGCAGGGCCAAGCAGUACCUCGUGAAGUGUCAGCGGACGGCACUGUGGUACCUACGCUAACCUCGGCCUUGCUUCACGAGCAACGCCGCACUCAUGUCGUGACGGUUAUUCCUCCUCUCGCCAAGGCUGUGGCAGUCCGCAACGCUUACGACGGCACCACAGGGCUGCGUCGGCUGCUCCGUCGCACCGUCUAUGAUGCGUGUGUCGAGUACCAUCGCGAAAGCGUCACCAACUCACGUUCAGCCAAUGGAAAGCCCACCACCACCACAACGCCGACGGAAAUCGCCGUCUUGCUUGUCUUGGACCACAUUGAGUGCUACCUGCAGAGAGAGGACGCGUGCAUUCACGACAGCAGCAGCGGAACCGCAGAUUCGACGACGCGGCAAAGCUGCGGUGUCGGUGAACCGUCCCAGGACGGCACCAGCGCGCAGAGCAUGAACACGCUCUACCCAGCCCUCCUCGCCGAUCUUUACACGGUGUUGCGCAGCAGCCCGCCUCUCUUCUCGCAGCACGAGUGCGCCACGCUGCACCUGGCGCGUCUCGUCUCCGUCGCCCUCUUCACGGGAGGGCUGGACGAGGUUCCUCCUGUUGUUCGGCACCGCUACGUCGACUACGCCAUCGCCCUGCCUACUCCGACAGAGGCGGUGCGGCGCGCGUUCUUUCUACCAUACGCCACCACGUGUGCUGCUGGUCAGGCGCCGCCGCCGUUGCCGCUGCCGAUGGUGGACGCCUUGGCCCUUCGCACCGGCGGCGUGUCGUACGGAGGACUGCAGGAGGUGCUCUGCCUCGCGCUUGACUACUGCGCCGCAUCACCAUCCCGUCUUUCCCUCUCUCCCUCCUCCGCCUCAGGCGCUGUCGAGUGUGAUGAGCAGGUGGCCGGUGCCGCGGCUCAGGCGAUUCUUCAAGCCUACGUAUCUAGCGGCUCCGUCACGGCCUUGGAGUACCGCCGCAGCGCCGGCUUUGUCGACGUGCAGGCGACGCGGUGGGACGAUAUCGCUGGAAUGGCGCACGUGAAGGAGACUUUGAAGAGGUUGGUUACCGAUCCUAUUCGGCAUCGCGACACGUACCGGCGCUUCCGCGUGCGCCCCUCGACCGGCGUGUUGCUCCAUGGCCCUCCCGGCACCGGCAAGACGAUGCUGGCCAAGGCCAUGGCGACCGAGCUGAACGCCUCCUUCGUGUACAUGGACCUACCCAAGCUGGUGCAGGCAGAGGUAGGCGAGUCGGAGAGGCGGCUGCAGGAGUACUUCGAUGUCGCGCGCGAGCGCAGCCCCUCGCUUGUGUUCAUGGACGAGGUACAAGCUGCCUUUGGGCUUCGCUACGCGAACACUGCGGAUGUGCAUCGGCGUCGGCCAAGGUCCUCAGCGGCUGACGGCGGUGGUCGAGACGAGGGCGCCUCUACUGCUUCCACUGCCACUGCGCACGAUGCCCGCCUUGUGUCUCACCUUCUUCGCCUGCUGGACGCCGCGCAGCAGGAUGAAGAGCACUUCGUCCUCUUCGUCGGCGCCACGAACGUCGUUCAUUUGCUGGACCCGCUCCUUCUACGUGCCGGUCGACUGGACACGCUCUUGGAGGUGCCGCCUCCGGACGCCGCGGCUCGCAAGAGCCUCGUGCGACGCGUCGUGUACGGAGAAUGGGCCCAUUGGCUUUGCGAGGGAGAAAGCCAUGCCUCCUUGGUGAGCGCCGAUGGCGGCUCCGUUGCCGCCGCUGCGCCGAUCGACGCAACGCAGCUAGAAAAUCUGCGCGCGGCCCUUGUGGAGGCGUUUGUGCGCCGUUCCGACGGCUUCAGCGGCGCCGAGGUGCGCAACUUCACGUCGGUGUUUGGUCUCCAGCUCGCACGUGCCGUAACCCGCAGCCUGGAGGCGACGCAAGACGCAGUGGUUAGCGAGGCGCUGGACUGCGCCGCGACCACCCACGGCCCGCGGACGGAGCAGCGCGAACGGCAGCUGUGUCUGCGCCGUGCCAUCACCGCCUUCCUUGCCACAAGCGGAGGAACCGAAGCGGGGCUCAGUUGUGAUGCACUGGCGCUGCUCGAUGACGCUCACAAGAAGUGCGCUGUGUAGGCUGCCGUGUUGUCAGAGUGGGAUGCGGGCGUCAUGGAUCUCUGUUGCGUGCUGACGGUGCCUCACGUCAUCCUAUCACCGGCCGGCAUCGUGUGCACAGCUCUCAAAGGCCGCACACACCAACGGCCACUUUUGUUCUCUCUCCCCCUCUUUGCUGUUGUGUGAGUUGUGUGCUUCCUUCAUUGCCCAGCAGUGUCAUGUGCAGGUACCAAUCAUCACAGCCUGAAAGGCUCGCUAGCCCUGCCGCGCACCCCCUCGCGAUCAUGGUGAGAUGUUUUCUCUCCUCUGUUUUGUAAGUGCAGGCUUCGCAGAACACACCCACACCCCUACCGCCCAUUAACCGCUUAAGGUCAGCUGACCCUCUUCUUACGCACGCUUCCUUGCAGCUCCACUGUUCACACUUAAUGAAGCACCGUCUUUCGGGCCACGCAAAGAUGUGGGGAAGAGCCGCUGCAACACUUCUCACCCCCUGAAGAGGCUGUGCGCAUAGC
rnacentral:misc_RNA from 1 species